rnacentral:rRNA from 1 species
GGGUUGUGAGGUUAAGUGACUAAGCGUACACGGUGGAUGCCCUGGCAGUCAGAGGCGAUGAAGGACGUGCUAAUCUGCGAUAAGCGUCGGUAAGGUGAUAUGAACCGUUAUAACCGGCGAUUUCCGAAUGGGGAAACCCAGUGUGAUUCGUCACACUAUCAUUAACUGAAUCCAUAGGUUAAUGAGGCGAACCGGGGGAACUGAAACAUCUAAGUACCCCGAGGAAAAGAAAUCAACCGAGAUUCCCCCAGUAGCGGCGAGCGAACGGGGAGGAGCCCAGAGCCUGAAUCAGUGUGUGUGUUAGUGGAAGCGUCUGGAAAGGCGCGCGAUACAGGGUGACAGCCCCGUACACAAAAAUGCACAUGCUGUGAGCUCGAUGAGUAGGGCGGGACACGUGGUAUCCUGUCUGAAUAUGGGGGGACCAUCCUCCAAGGCUAAAUACUCCUGACUGACCGAUAGUGAACCAGUACCGUGAGGGAAAGGCGAAAAGAACCCCGGCGAGGGGAGUGAAAAAGAACCUGAAACCGUGUACGUACAAGCAGUGGGAGCACGCUUAGGCGUGUGACUGCGUACCUUUUGUAUAAUGGGUCAGCGACUUAUAUUCUGUAGCAAGGUUAACCGAAUAGGGGAGCCGAAGGGAAACCGAGUCUUAACUGGGCGUUAAGUUGCAGGGUAUAGACCCGAAACCCGGUGAUCUAGCCAUGGGCAGGUUGAAGGUUGGGUAACACUAACUGGAGGACCGAACCGACUAAUGUUGAAAAAUUAGCGGAUGACUUGUGGCUGGGGGUGAAAGGCCAAUCAAACCGGGAGAUAGCUGGUUCUCCCCGAAAGCUAUUUAGGUAGCGCCUCGUGAAUUCAUCUCCGGGGGUAGAGCACUGUUUCGGCAAGGGGGUCAUCCCGACUUACCAACCCGAUGCAAACUGCGAAUACCGGAGAAUGUUAUCACGGGAGACACACGGCGGGUGCUAACGUCCGUCGUGAAGAGGGAAACAACCCAGACCGCCAGCUAAGGUCCCAAAGUCAUGGUUAAGUGGGAAACGAUGUGGGAAGGCCCAGACAGCCAGGAUGUUGGCUUAGAAGCAGCCAUCAUUUAAAGAAAGCGUAAUAGCUCACUGGUCGAGUCGGCCUGCGCGGAAGAUGUAACGGGGCUAAACCAUGCACCGAAGCUGCGGCAGCGACGCUUAUGCGUUGUUGGGUAGGGGAGCGUUCUGUAAGCCUGCGAAGGUGUGCUGUGAGGCAUGCUGGAGGUAUCAGAAGUGCGAAUGCUGACAUAAGUAACGAUAAAGCGGGUGAAAAGCCCGCUCGCCGGAAGACCAAGGGUUCCUGUCCAACGUUAAUCGGGGCAGGGUGAGUCGACCCCUAAGGCGAGGCCGAAAGGCGUAGUCGAUGGGAAACAGGUUAAUAUUCCUGUACUUGGUGUUACUGCGAAGGGGGGACGGAGAAGGCUAUGUUGGCCGGGCGACGGUUGUCCCGGUUUAAGCGUGUAGGCUGGUUUUCCAGGCAAAUCCGGAAAAUCAAGGCUGAGGCGUGAUGACGAGGCACUACGGUGCUGAAGCAACAAAUGCCAUGCUUCCAGGAAAAGCCUCUAAGCAUCAGGUAACAUCAAAUCGUACCCCAAACCGACACAGGUGGUCAGGUAGAGAAUACCAAGGCGCUUGAGAGAACUCGGGUGAAGGAACUAGGCAAAAUGGUGCCGUAACUUCGGGAGAAGGCACGCUGAUAUGUAGGUGAAGCGACUUGCUCGUGGAGCUGAAAUCAGUCGAAGAUACCAGCUGGCUGCAACUGUUUAUUAAAAACACAGCACUGUGCAAACACGAAAGUGGACGUAUACGGUGUGACGCCUGCCCGGUGCCGGAAGGUUAAUUGAUGGGGUCAGCGCAAGCGAAGCUCUUGAUCGAAGCCCCGGUAAACGGCGGCCGUAACUAUAACGGUCCUAAGGUAGCGAAAUUCCUUGUCGGGUAAGUUCCGACCUGCACGAAUGGCGUAAUGAUGGCCAGGCUGUCUCCACCCGAGACUCAGUGAAAUUGAACUCGCUGUGAAGAUGCAGUGUACCCGCGGCAAGACGGAAAGACCCCGUGAACCUUUACUAUAGCUUGACACUGAACAUUGAGCCUUGAUGUGUAGGAUAGGUGGGAGGCUUUGAAGUGUGGACGCCAGUCUGCAUGGAGCCGACCUUGAAAUACCACCCUUUAAUGUUUGAUGUUCUAACGUUGACCCGUAAUCCGGGUUGCGGACAGUGUCUGGUGGGUAGUUUGACUGGGGCGGUCUCCUCCUAAAGAGUAACGGAGGAGCACGAAGGUUGGCUAAUCCUGGUCGGACAUCAGGAGGUUAGUGCAAUGGCAUAAGCCAGCUUGACUGCGAGCGUGACGGCGCGAGCAGGUGCGAAAGCAGGUCAUAGUGAUCCGGUGGUUCUGAAUGGAAGGGCCAUCGCUCAACGGAUAAAAGGUACUCCGGGGAUAACAGGCUGAUACCGCCCAAGAGUUCAUAUCGACGGCGGUGUUUGGCACCUCGAUGUCGGCUCAUCACAUCCUGGGGCUGAAGUAGGUCCCAAGGGUAUGGCUGUUCGCCAUUUAAAGUGGUACGCGAGCUGGGUUUAGAACGUCGUGAGACAGUUCGGUCCCUAUCUGCCGUGGGCGCUGGAGAACUGAGGGGGGCUGCUCCUAGUACGAGAGGACCGGAGUGGACGCAUCACUGGUGUUCGGGUUGUCAUGCCAAUGGCACUGCCCGGUAGCUAAAUGCGGAAGAGAUAAGUGCUGAAAGCAUCUAAGCACGAAACUUGCCCCGAGAUGAGUUCUCCCUGACUCCUUGAGAGUCCUGAAGGAACGUUGAAGACGACGACGUUGAUAGGCCGGGUGUGUAAGCGCAGUGAUGCGUUGAGCUAACCGGUACUAAUGAACCGUGAGGCUUAACCUUACAACGCCGAAGGUGUUU